UUCACUUUUGAUGCAGAACACUUAAAACUUAAAUAUCUAAAUAAGGACUUAAUUAAAACUAAGUUGUUUACUCCUAAAGCUUAUGAUCCCAAGGUGCAAAUUCCAUAUGUAGUGCCACAUGGAGUGUGUCCCAGAGAACUAGCAAUUUUGAGAUUGAAAAAAACUUUUUCUAA